rnacentral:rRNA from 1 species
UGGGGAAUCUUGGACAAUGGGCGCAAGCCUGAUCCAGCCAUGCCGCGUGGAUGAUGAAGGCCUUAGGGUUGUAAAAUCCUUUCACCGGGGACGAUAAUGACGGUACCCGGAGAAGAAGCCCCGGCUAACUUCGUGCCAGCAGCCGCGGUAAUACGAAGGGGGCUAGCGUUGCUCGGAAUUACUGGGCGUAAAGCGCGCGUAGGCGGAUUGAUUAGUCAGAGGUGAAAUCCCAGGGCUCAACCCUGGAACUGCCUUUGAUACUGUCAGUCUGGAGCAAGGUAGAGGCGAGUGGAAUUCCGAGUGUAGAGGUGAAAUUCGUAGAUAUUCGGAGGAACACCAGUGGCGAAGGCGACUCGCUGGACCUUUGCUGACGCUGAGGCGCGAAAGCGUGGGGAGCAAACAGG